rnacentral:rRNA from 1 species
UACGUAGGGGGCGAGCGUUGUCCGGAUUUAUUGGGCGUAAAGAGCUCGUAGGCGGUUCGAUAAGUCGGACGUGAAAUCUCCACGCUCAACGUGGAGGGGCCGUUCGAUACUGUCGUGACUCGAGUCCGGUAGGGGAGUGUGGAAUUCCCUGUGUAGCGGUGAAAUGCGUAGAUAUAGGGGAGAACACUCGUGGCGAAGGCGGCCAGCUAGACCAGUCCUGACGCUGAGGCGCGACAGCGUGGGGAGCAAACAGG